UACAUGCAAAUUGAAUCGCUGUUCACCUGUAAAUGGCAGUAAAGUCAGAGACGGCCGCCUUUACAACGGAAUGGAAGCGUCUCAACUAGAAGGAGUGCAAGGGGACGAGCGAAUGGACUCGGCGCAUAUGCGAUUGGAAGAAAACGGCUGCUGUCCAGCCCGGCUAUUUACGGUCACUAGUCUAUAAUGUGUCUGCCCGAACGAGCUCUCACUCUUUAAAGAAGGCUGCUGUUAUUUGUUGGCGUCUCCCCAGAGAUGGGGCAGGUUAGGUCCUCCAUGAUGUGGGCACCGAGGUAUUUGAAACAACCUACCCUCUCCACCUGAGUGUACUUAACACUGGUAGUGCCUUUGCUGUUUACUCCCAAAGUCUCCAAUCAACUCCUUUGUCUUGCUGACACUCCGGAGAAGACUGUUGUCCUGACAUCAUUGUGACUGACUCUCCAUUCAGGUUUUUUGGCCUGGCCCAGGUCCUCCAGUACUGCCAGGGCAAAUCCCCCAGAGAUGCCAACGGACCACAGCAUCUGCAGCCCACUCACUGGCACAGGCCCAGCCUGUCAUUGACAUUUAAUCAAACCUGCGUGCCUUUGGGGACGUGAGAGGAAAACCAGCGAACAUGGAAGAAACCUCCUGCAGAUCUGGCGAGAAUGUGCAGACCCCACAGGAUUCAAACCCUGGGUGCUCGAUCUGUAAGACAGCAGCGCUGCCCACAGUGCAACUGGCAGAGACGGAACGCAAGAAUAAUGGAGAUACCUCAGCUUCUGUCGCAUUGGAAAGGCAAAAUGAACGAGUGGCUCCAGACCCUGAACUGUGUGGAUUUGUCCUGUGGGUCGUCUUCUAUUUUGCUAGAAUAAAUUCCAGCUUCCCAAAACAACAAGGAAGGGGGCUGGUAGUUCACGUCAAUGCCUGUCCUUUACCCCGAGAAACGGGAGCCUUUAUAACUCCGAGGAAAACGCUACAUUAAUAUUUGAGGCCCAGCCUGGCCUUACCAUUCACACUGCCAGGGGACAAGCGAGAAGAGCCAGGAGGCGGAUGGGAGAUGGAAAGUCACUCACUGAAGGGGUGGAAAGAACCGUGUUUAGUUUCAUUAUUUUUUAUUCUUUAUUGCACUGGCAGUGUCCUUUCGUACUCUGUAGGUGUGAUUAUUGUGGAACAGAAAUCUAGAAAAUAGGAUGGCGUUUGUGCUGAGAUCUGACAUUGGUUUGCUCGUAUUACCGGCAGUAUGUGUGCACCUCCAGUAUAUCCCUUUUGUUCUCUUCACCUUUUUUACUUUCUCGUAAACAAAGUCUAAGGAGAGUAUCGUAAUCGUUCAAAACUUCGACCUCGAGAUUUGGAUGAAUCUCGACGUUUUAGACCUCCCCGAGUCCAAUUUAUGUUCUCGUAGGGAAAAUAUUGUAACUGUCUAAAAAUUCAAUUUCGAGAUUUUGAUGAAUCUCGACGUUUUAGACCUCUGAGUCCUGUCUGUGUGUAUAAAAAUGAUAAUCUGAGUGCGCUUUCACUUAAGUAUUAGGUAAACAACGCGGAUUUCUAUCGACUUUUGAGCAAUUUCCGUUAACCGGUGUGGUACUUUACCUUGUAUUCAUGCAGCUGCAGAGUCCGAUUUAUUCAACUUUACUUUUAUAAUAAUUGUUCAGUCAGUCGG